rnacentral:tRNA from 1 species
AGGCAAGUAGCUCAAUUGGAAGAGCACCUACUCAACACGUAGGGGGUUGUAGGUUCAAAUCCUGCCUUGUCUU